rnacentral:rRNA from 1 species
AUUGAACGCUGGCGGCAUGCCUUACACAUGCAAGUCGAACGGCAGCACGGGAGCAAUCCUGGUGGCGAGUGGCGAACGGGUGAGUAAAGCAUCGGAACGUGCCCAGUCGUGGGGGAUAACGUAGCGAAAGCUACGCUAAUACCGCAUACGAUCUGUGGAUGAAAGCGGGGGACCGUAAGGCCUCGCGCGAUUGGAGCGGCCGAUGUCAGAUUAGGUAGUUGGUGAGGUAAAGGCUCACCAAGCCGACGAUCUGUAGCUGGUCUGAGAGGACGGCCAGCCAGACUGGGACGGAGACACGGCCCAGACUCCUACGGGAGGCAGCAGUGGGGAAUUUUGGACAAUGGGCGCAAGCCUGAUCCAGCAAUGCCGCGUGCAGGAUGAAGGCCUUCGGGUUGUAAACUGCUUUUGUACGGAGCGAAACGGCUUCCACUAAUACUGGGGGCUAAUGACGGUACCGUAAGAAUAAGCACCGGCUAACUACGUGCCAGCAGCCGCGGUAACAC